UGCCAGACUCCUACGGGAGGCAGCAGUGGGGAAUAUUGCACAAUGGGGGGAACCCUGAUGCAGCAAUGCCGCGUGGGUGAAGAAGUACCCCGGUAUGUAAAGCCCUGUCAGCAGGGAAGAAAAUGACGGUACCUGACUAAGAAGCCCCGGCUAACUACGUGCCAGCAGCCGCGGUAAUACGUAGGGGGCGAGCGUUAUCCGGAUUUACUGGGUGUAAAGGGAGCGCAGGCGGCGUGGCAAGUCAGAUGUGAAAACCCGGGGCCCAACCCCGGGACUGCAUUUGAAACUGCCAUGCUGGAGUGCCGGAGAGGCAAGUGGAAUUCCUAGUGUAGCGGUGAAAUGCGUAGAUAUUAGGAGGAACACCAGUGGCGGAGGCGGCUUGCUGGACGGUAACUGACGCUGAGGCUCGAAAGCGUGGGGAGCAAACAGGAUUAGAUACCCCAGUAU
rnacentral:rRNA from 1 species